GGAAGAGGCGUAGCUCGGUGGUAGAGCAUCUGUCUUGCAUGCAGAAGGUCCCAGGUUCAAUCCCUGGCCUCUCCA